rnacentral:rRNA from 1 species
UACGUAGGGGGCAAGCGUUGUCCGGAAUCAUUGGGCGUAAAGCGCGCGUAGGCGGCCCGGUAAGUCCGCUGUGAAAGUCGGGGGCUCAACCCUCGGAUGCCGGUGGAUACUGUCGGGCUUGAGUGCGGAAGAGGCGAGUGGAAUUCCUGGUGUAGCGGUGAAAUGCGCAGAUAUCAGGAGGAACACCGGUGGCGAAGGCGGCGAUCUGGGUCGAUACUGACGCUGAGGUGCGAAAGCGUGGGGAGCAAACAGG